GCCAGCAGUCCUUUAGCAGCACGUAAAUAUUGGUGUUAAAAUGGUCCCAAUAUUAACUGUGCUGCUAGAGUAAGGUUGGCCU
ensembl:miRNA xtr-mir-16a xtr-mir-16a